GAGCUUGCUCUUAUGAAGUUAGCGGCGGACGGGUGAGUAACACGUGGGUAACCUGCCCAUAAGACUGGGAUAACUCCGGGAAACCGGGGCUAAUACCGGAUAACAUUUUGAACCGCAUGGUUCGAAAUUGAAAGGCGGCUUCGGCUGUCACUUAUGGAUGGACCCGCGUCGCAUUAGCUAGUUGGUGAGGUAACGGCUCACCAAGGCAACGAUGCGUAGCCGACCUGAGAGGGUGAUCGGCCACACUGGGACUGAGACACGGCCCAGACUCCUACGGGAGGCAGCAGUAGGGAAUCUUCCGCAAUGGACGAAAGUCUGACGGAGCAACGCCGCGUGAGUGAUGAAGGCUUUCGGGUCGUAAAACUCUGUUGUUAGGGAAGAACAAGUGCUAGUUGAAUAAGCUGGCACCUUGACGGUACCUAACCAGAAAGCCACGGCUAACUACGUGCCAGCAGCCGCGGUAAUACGUAGGUGGCAAGCGUUAUCCGGAAUUAUUGGGCGUAAAGCGCGCGCAGGUGGUUUCUUAAGUCUGAUGUGAAAGCCCACGGCUCACCCGUGGAGGGUCAUUGGAAACUGGGGAGACUUGAGUGCAGAAGAGGAAAGUGGAAUUCCAUGUGUAGGGUGAAAUGCGUAGAGAUAUGGAGGAACACCAGUGGC
rnacentral:rRNA from 1 species